CCUACGGGUGGCAGCAGUGGGGAAUAUUGGACAAUGGGGGGAACCCUGAUCCAGCCAUGCCGCGUGUGUGAAGAAGGCCCUCGGGUUGUAAAGCACUUUCAGUGAGGAAGAACGCCUGGUGGUUAAUACCCAUCAGGAAAGACAUCACUCACAGAAGAAGCACCGGCUAACUCCGUGCCAGCAGCCGCGGUAAUACGGAGGGUGCGAGCGUUAAUCGGAAUUACUGGGCGUAAAGCGCGCGUAGGUGGCUUGAUAAGCCGGUUGUGAAAGCCCCGGGCUCAACCUGGGAACGGCAUCCGGAACUGUCAAGCUAGAGUGCAGGAGAGGAAGGUAGAAUUCCCGGUGGAGCGGUGAAAUGCGUAGAGAUCGGGAGGAAUACCAGUGGCGAAGGCGGCCUUCUGGACUGACACUGACACUGAGGUGCGAAAGCGUGGGUAGCAAACAGGAUUAGAUACCCGAGUAGUC
rnacentral:rRNA from 1 species